AUUGAACGCUGGCGGAAUGCUUUACACACGCAAGUCGAACGGCAGCACGGACUUCGGUCUGGUGGCGAGUGGCGAACGGGUGAGUAAUGUAUCGGAACGUGCCCAGUCGUGGGGGAUAACGUAGUGAAAAUUACGCUAAUACCGCAUACGGUCUAUGGAUGAAAGCGGGGGAUCGCAAGACCUCGCGCGAUUGGAUGGGCCGAUAUCAGAUUAGGUAGGUGGUGGGGUAAAGGCCCACCAAGCCAACGAUCUGUAGCUGGUCUGAGAGGACGACCAGCCACACUGGAACUGAGACACGGUCCAGACUCCUACGGGAGGCAGCAGUGGGGAAUUUUGGACAAUGGGCGAAAGCCUGAUCCAGCCAUUCCGCGUGCAGGAUGAAGGCCCUCGGGUUGUAAACUGCUUUUGUACAGAACGAAAAGGUUUCUACUAAUACUAGGAGCUCAUGACGGUACUGUAAGAAUAAGCACCGGCUAACUACGUGCCAGCAGCCGCCGUAA
rnacentral:rRNA from 1 species